GAUAUCCCAAACCAACAUGAAAGCCACUGUAGCUGUAUUCAUUAGCUUGGCUAUCCUUUUUAGCCUGGUACCUCAAUACGAGGCAAGCGUAACUGGACUUUUUGCAGGACCAGCUACAGGAAAAAGAAGUGAUAAGGGGAGUCAAGGCAACCGGUGGGAAGAACGUGCGUUGACGACAAAAAGAGAGAAAAUAUGUGAGAUGGCAAGAGAAUAUAAUUGCUAAAAAAAGACAAAAUGAAAGAGAAGAACGAAAAUAAAAGCCACUGCAUUGACAUCAAGAACUUUUAGUGCCAAUAAAUAUCUUCUUUAUAUAUAUUAAUGUUCAUAUAUUGGGGAUAGUCGUAGUCGAUACUUGCCAAUGAAUAUAAAUGAAAUAAAAUAAAUGACGUGUUCGCUUG